rnacentral:tRNA from 1 species
GCUCCGCUGGCGCAAUGGUAGCGCGCCAGACUUCUAUAUGGAUAUCUGGAGGGUAUGCCACAUCCUCCAACAACGCGCUACGGUCAGGAAAAACUAACAAACAAUUUUAGCUGCGAGUUCGAGUCUCGCGCGGAGUG